rnacentral:lncRNA from 1 species
AACAUCAUUUACAUUUAUUCGUUCUUUUCUUAACUUUCUGUUCCAUAGGGAUUGCACUUAUUCCUAAAAUUUUGUCAGUUAGAAAUUUCAAAUUUGUUCUUGGUGAAACACAAAGGUUUAUCUAAUGUCCAUGAAAUUUAAUAGCAAUUUGGAUGGAGGCUUCUUGCAAGCUCUCAACAAGUAGGUGGCCACUAAAAGGUUUGUGUUUCCUAGAAAAUGUUGGAGUACCUGGUGCACUGGAAACCAUUUCCUUCUGGUAGGGGUUCUGGAUUGCUUAGAGUUUCACUAUGGAAGUUCUCAAAUCAAAGUGGGGAAUCAGCCAUGUCAUUUGUGAUAUUGAGCAUGUAAGGAGGUUGAUUCUUUUGUUGCUUUCUUGCAGAAUCAUUCAGGGCUCAAACCUCAAUACUAAGAAGAAUCUUCAAGCUUUAAACAAGGGUUGUAUCUAGGGCCAGGGGUUGCUGUACCAAUUGCAACCAGACUGUAAGUUUUAUUGUGCUAACAGAUGAGGUCCUUGUAGUGGUUUUGAACUGAUAUAGUAUGGAGUGGAACAUGCUUAGAAAUUCUGUAAGGAUGAGACAAUGAGCCACUAGGCCUUGGCUCUUUAUUAGAACUACAGGCUUCUUAGCAGGAGAAAAAGGGAUCCAUUAGAUCCCAAGACAUUCACUCUACAAUGGUUCCUUUAGUCAUGGAAGAUGGUUUGAUUCUCUUACUCCUUUCAUGUUCUCCUUAGUUGUUUAUUUGUACUUGGUUAUGAAAGGUGUAUAUGUAGUUGUUCUCACCAGAUUACCUGGUUCUUUUAUUGGUUAAAACAAGGAAAGUGCCACUUUCACCAUCUUUUAUCCCACAUCCCUCGUAGGUAAAAUGAGUAAAUCGACUAGCAUGCCGGUGUCCCUUCAUCUCUAUGUCAGUAGACAAAGCAGAGAUGUGAGGGUAGUAUUCUAGUGUACAGAUAAAUAAUGAAAAAAAUUUAGUUCUGGGAUUAACAAUGACACAAGUUGAUAUAUAACUCAUUAUUAAAAUUAAGUUUUGGUCUACUUUACCUUCAAAAAAUUCAAAUUGGGCAUAACUAUACUGACCAAUGCUGAUGGUAACACAUCUUGAACAUGGAGAAUAUAAAGAUGCUGGCAUCUAGGUUCAGCCAAAGUCCAUAAACAUGUUAGAAAGUAGCAAAGGAUGCAAUUGAAGCACAAGUGUCAAUUGUGGCCUGCUUUCCUCCUUUUUUCAUACCCAAUAUAGACUAGAUUUGAAAUCGAACAUUUGGAUUGGACACAGGUUUGGGACAAUGUUGGAUUAUGAAAGUAUGGGUGUAGAAUAAUCUUAAUUUAAAAUUAUAUAGUAGUUUUUAAGGGAAGGCUAUUAUAAUGUUAUGUUACCUAACACACUUGGACCAAAAAGAGAAAAAGAAACGUAGCAAAGUUGGACUAAUCUACUUAAAUGCCUGUUCCAUGCUGAAUUCCCAAAAGUAUACACCCAUCUCCUUAUCUCAAUACGAAAAUCACAAGAAAGAAUGAUUUUUCUACGUUUCUAGAUAUGGAAUCAUGGAAAGUUGCUCAUGGUCAUCAUCUUUCUCCAAUUAGACAAAGCUACUUGGUGCACGCCAAAUCAAUUUGCAUCACAAUCCUCAUCAACAUCACGGAAAGAAUUCAAGGAAAUUAAGAAAAGGAGCUCUUCAGUAAAGCAAGGUCUCCGGUAAAAUAUACGGAUAGCUAAAGACGGAAUUAUAAAAAGGCCCCCCUUUUCUAACCAUUCUUGUAAAGACAAAAAGAAAUGAUAGUUGUGCCCUUAAUUAGAUUCUCGUAGUUUUCAGUUUGGGAAGCAGUGUGGAAUUGCCCAAGAGAGGGCCAUGGUCUUAAAGAUACAAAAAUAUGACAUGAACAUUAAGUUUGAGAUAACAAAAACUUUCAAUGAAGAAUCAAUUCUAGACAAGAACAAAAAUAAUAAAACUGCCAUUUCAGCGUAAUGGUGCUGCCAUGACAUUCUCAUAUCUGGUAUCUUGAUAUAUAGCUUUGCAGCAAAGUAUCUAAGAAGAAAACAAGUUUGGUGACACUGCAAAUCACACCCAAUUUUUUCCUUUCCUUUCCUUUCCUUUCUGAAGUAGGAUACUGAAACUUUUCACACCAAUGAAAACAAGAUGUAAGAGAUCAAAGACAGCUAAUCCCCUAUUUAUACUUCAAAUGUUUCUUACAAUCUUUUGCUGUUUGUAUUUCUGUUCAGUAGAGGAUUGAGGGAACUCAUGGCAGACUUCAGCUUAAUGCUUGAACCCAGGUCACUUAAGGAUUCCUCUACAUAGGGGACUAGAGUCUUGAGCAGUCUUUCCACACAAUCUAGGAACUAAAACAAUAAUACACUCCAUAUUCAAGUUUCUUAUUCAAAUUCAAUCAUCCUAAAUGAGACAACCAUGCAAGGCCUUUGCCAGCUAUAUGAAUUAUCAUUUCGUUCUAAAUAAAAUUUUACAUGGAAGUAGCUUAUCCUUAUCCUUUCACACAACUUCUAAAUUUUUUUCAUCAUAUCAUGCCGGUUCAGGAUGAAAGUGCAGUCUCUCUUGUUGCCAUUCGCAGUAAGCAUAAAAACCCUUCUCUUUCUUAUGUAAUGAUGCUAUGGAAACUAUAUUUGUUGCAUCACAAAACUACAUGUCACAACAUCAAUGAACAAAGAUCUUAUUCAUGACAGAAAGAUAUAUGCUUAUAAAAGGGAAUCUAGACUUAUAAAAUGAAUGGAAAAAUCCUAUGAUAAAUACAGAAAAACUUAAUCCACAGCUAAUUAACAAGAAGCUACUGUAGAUUCAGUAUUCUAUUUAUUGCUUGCCUAUCAAGAAAAGACAAUAUGCUACUGUAAAUGAUAAUAUAAGCUUCUAAAUAUGCAAAAAAACUCAUAAGAGUUCUAAAUGAUAAGGUGAUAAGAUGCUGCAAACCUUGUGCUUGCAAAUUCAUAGAGCUUCCCAGUGCUGGAAAAGAUAAUCAGUCCAACUUCUGCAUCGCAUAGAAUUGCUAGCUCCUUAGCCUUCUUCAACAGUCCCUUCCUUCGCUUUGAGAAGGUAACUUGCCUGCUCGUAGUAUUAUCGAUCCUCCUAAUCUCGAUCUUUCCUCUUCCCAUCCUCACGGCUCGCUCUAGAUUCUAGGGUUUCUACAACAUGGAAAAGAGAUACCGUAGUGAAUAAACCAAAUGAUUGUUAGCGUAAAAUGGAAGAGGAUUUAUAGAUGAUCUUACUCUUUUAAGAUUCAAAUUCAAUGGUUGAUGCUGUGAGAGGUUUGUAAGCAUUCUUAUUCACAUCUUCUUUAUAAGGGAAUAAGUGGUUUUCAAUGAAAGUGAAACCACUUAAUAGGGAGAAUAUAGGACUGGUUUGAAAUCCUGAAACCACUAAUAAGAGUGGGGUUGUUUUACAGUUGUGUACUCGAGGAUGAAUCAGAAGCUGUAAAGACCUUUUAAUUUUUUUUAGUAUUUUGAUGGUGUCAUCCCCGUCCGCCGUAUUAGUCAGUGACACCUGGGAAUACUAGUUCAAGUAUAGUAUGGUUACUUGAUUAAUUUUUUUAAGACACGGAAAAUAUUAAUAUAACACGGGUUGCACUAAACGCUUGAGCACUGUGAAGGAUAAUUACAAGGCGGACGCUUGGUAAAGCUUUAUACUUAAUGUUUAAUGACUUAAAAGUGACUUUAAGUUAAAUAUAUGCUUAAUUUAUCAAGUCAUACUGCAGUUAAACCACUGGCUAAAGUAUAAGCAAUCCCUGAUAAACUAGCUCAUGUUUAUUUAAUGAGCCAAGCAAGCAAAAAUUUUGGAUUGAAGCUGCACCAAUAUUUGAAAUGAUCAAAUUGGUCUUUCCAUGAUAUACACUGUUGUUCUAUGCAUGGAUAUGUAGUCUUUCAUUGCACUGUAUGCAUGGAUAAUAUACAUAGUGCUCGCAAUUCAAAACGUGAGAACAUGUAAUUGGUUGUUGUAACUUGUGAUACAGAAAAGGCCAUAUUCUCUGUUGGAACCAAAUCCACGGCCACUGGAUUUGGUUAACCUACUUAUAGAAUUCUGUCUCAGUUGAAUUAGUAAUGUUGUGUAUUUGUCUACUAUGGAACACCAUCCUUCUGCUUCCAUCUUCUUGCUUCAUUUGCCUUACAACAUCAUGAUCUCUAAAGAUGGAUACCUGUUACAGUUCCUUCCAAGACGGAGAAACCCUGCAACUGGCUGCAGGCCAAUGGCAUGUUACCGACACACAUGUGAAGGGCCGAAACCCCCCAUCCGCCAAUCGAGAGGAGUCUUGGCACGCCCUUAUCGUGCUUAGCCCAAUGGCAAACAAUCCGUACAAUCCCAUCACCCAGGGUUGUGAGUUUUACUCUUGCCAAAAAGAAUUUAUUCAGAAACUGUGGAUAUAUAUAUUAUAUGCGAUGGUUAGAGACCUGAAUAGACUUGUAUAAACAAAUCAUGUUAGCUCCGGUCGGUGCAUCAACAAUGAUAAAGGUUUGGUGACUGCCUGUAAACACAAUUUACGAUUGGCUGAAGGCCACGUGAAGUGGAUUUGUUCAACCAAUGAGAUUGAGUCUUAGCAGGAAAAUGGUAAUGGGAACAAGGGAGACCCAAAGUCAAGAGUGGAUUAAAAAAGUGGGGAGUAGUCAUGCCUCCAACUACGAGCAACGAGCUUAGCCAGGUGUCAAUCAUCAACAAAUCAUAUAUGUGCAUAGGCCGAGGAAAAGAGGUGAUCUCAUAAACAAUGUUCAUUACUUUAUCUUCCCAAAAAAUGGAAAUGCCACUUUUCUGAGUCACCCGCCAUUGAAAAUUGCUUCUUUACAGAUGCGAUAUUGUUAAAGGGGCAGAGAUAUAAAAUAAUGAGAUCAGCACAUGAACUUUUAUCAUAACUCUCAAUUUCCUCCACCCAAGGAGAGAAGAUAUGGCUUUCCUGGAAAGGAGGAUGGGGUAUGCCCCUUUUGAUGCCUCAACCCCCACAUGCACUUGGAAGGAACAAACUUGCAAAAUUCACGUACGAUUUGAGUUUUGAGAACAGCCCUCAUCAUUAGCUGUGCAUGCAUGGAUUUUGAGGGAUUUGAAGCACAAGGAAGCUGACUACAUUCCAAUCUUGUUUGCCUCUUUUUAACUUACACUUUUAACCAAGCCACCCACUUGCCUGUAUUUGUCUCUCUGGCCUCCAUCUCAAAGAAUCAGUGAAGCCUCUUCAACCACGUAGUCCAUCCUAUUAUGUAUAUCGAGGAAUGGAAACAAGACAGAUGGACAUCUUCAAAUCCAAAACCACUAGUUCACCUCAUUUAAUCUUCAUAUAUAUGGUUGGAAAUUGCAAAAUUUGAGUUUAUUAUCUCCAAGAGGAUAAGGGCACACAGCCAGAGACACUACACCAUUCAAUUUCUCACUGAAUAGUUCCCAUUUCACCGGGUUUGAUGGUUUUUAUCUUCAAGAUAAUGUUUCUUAUUAAUUAUUACUUAUUAAAUAUGAAAUGUAUUUCUUGGGCUCCAAGACUGCUAGGCUUGCUCAGCAAGGCUCGAAGGCCACUUAGGUGCUUGUAGUGGGUUGGGCCCAAUUGUAGAAGCCCAACAACUUCUAGCCCGAACGUAUCGUUUAGUUGACCCUUACCAAAUGUGAUACAAAAUUAGGGUUUUGCUUCGGGUCCGGCAAUGGAUGAUGGUAGUAACAAUUGGAAGGAAUACAGGGUGCUUCAUUGCCAUUUUAAUGAGCUCUUCGUUCCUAUUAAACGACACCGUUUCUGACCUUCUGGUUUUCUAUCUUCUUUCUCCGUUUCGUCUUCUGCAAGUGAAAAAUGCUGGGUUUGGGCUUCAUAGUAUUCUCAAUUCUUGUAAGACAGAUCCUUUUUCUUUUUUUUGGGUAUAAUAAAUGUAGGAUUCCUAAACUAAAAUGAAAAACAAUUCCUCAUACUUCUCUUAAGUUAAUUAAUAUUUUCAAUAAUAUCACUUAUUGAAUACUAAGCAUCAUCUUUUAACUUUUUGAAUACAUUCGCUUUAACUCAAUCUUUAAAUUUAAAAAACUUAAAGUUUGAUCGCCAUCCUCUACAAGUUUUAUUAUUUAGAAUACGUUUGAGAGUGAUUUUAGAAAAUGUUUCUAGAAUUUCUAACACUUGAAUGAUGAAAAUUUUCGAGUAUUAAAAAUAUUAAAAACAUUUCCUAUAAUCACUACCAAACGGGAUCUUAGUGAAACUUGAUAUUUAUGCGUUUGCUUUUACCAUAAAACAUUGGAUUAUUUGUCAAUACAAUUACAACUUAUCAUUUGUAAAAUCUUCGGAUUAUCUUUCUUAAGCCCUUCUUCAAUUAAAAUUCUGUUCUUCUUGCUUUUUUUUGAGCCAAUGUUCAACUUUUAUUUUUUAAGAAUUGUGCAUCUAUACUCACAAUCGACUUACCUAAUUUUGGAUUAUAUAAUUUGUAACUUUUAGUUAAUACUUCUCACUUUUAUCAUCAAAUUUUUUUCUACACUUUUCUAGUAUAUGGGAAUAAACAAUACACCAAGUAAAAAAGAAACAUCUUACACUUGUUCAAAGUCAUUUCCUUCUUUGGGAUUAGUUCAAAGUCAUUCAUCCGUUCAUAUUUUAGUAUCUACAAUUUCAUUUGCUUGACAUGAUCAUCUUCUUUGCACAAUUUUUGUAGAGUAUCCCAUGCACACUUUGUUGUUUUUGUCGUUGAGAUUUUCACAAAUAUAGAUUUAUCUACGGUUUAGAAUAUUAUAGAAUGCUUCAUAAUCUUUCUUUUGGGGGAUCAUUGAAUAAAUUUCUUUGCUCUUAUAAUAGCACCUCAAAUAAAAUAAUUCUUUUGAAUUAGUCACUUUGUUGUAACCAUUUUUUUUAGUGGGAUCUAAAUAAGACCCGAUUAUUGAAAUUAUUGCUUGUAAAUUUCAAUUAAGUUACCAUUUGUAAUCUCAUUUCAUCAACAUAAUUGCAAUUUUCUUAAUAUUAUGCAUAUUCUUUGUAUUGAAGUUCUAAUCUUCCAAUGUUGCACCUUUCUUGAUCUUUUAACUCUAAUACCACAUAUUGGAAUACUUUCGGUAUUGAUAAUCAUUCUAUUUAAAAAAUGAUAUUUUAUUUUAUUCAACUCAUUAAUCAACAUAUGUAAUAACAAGUCUCUAUUUAUAAUAAAUUUAUCAUUUGAAAGUACUAUUAAUUUAUAAUUAGACUUAAAGUCUUAAAUAAUAUAAAAAACCUAAAUAAAUAAUAAUUUUUAAUAUUUCUCAAACUUCUAAAAUUUUAGGUUAUAUUUGAUUUUUGAAAAAUUUGAGGGAAAAUAGAAGAUAAAAAAAUAGAGAGAAAAAUUAGAAAGAAAGAGAAAGUGAAAAAAAAUAAAAAAAAGGAUUUAAAGUUAAUAAAUUAUUUUUAUAUCAUGAUUUUAAUUUAUUUAAAUUUUUUGAUAUAAAGAUUAAAUAAUAAUUUUAAAAUAUUGAAGUUUCUAAUUAAUUUAAAUUAUAUUUAAUUUUCUUUUAUGUUUUCACAAACUAAGGAAAAAAUUAUUUUCCUUCAUAUAUUUAUUUUCAUUUCUUGAUAUUUUUUAUGAAUCAAAUGUAACCUUAAAAAUUAUAACUCCGGAGUAAUGUUUUCAACAUUAGAAGAAAUAUUAUUUUCAUAUUUUGUCUUCAUUCGCUUGUCUGCAUAGAUGCCGCUGGCCAAACUGGCAGUCACAUUGAAGUGUUUGAAAUAAAUAUUAUCAUAUUACGAGGAAAAUUACUUGGUCUUAAAUAUUAAUUACACGCACAGCUCACUUGUAGCAAAAUGGGUUGUCGAUUGCUAAAAAUGCUUUUUAAUGUUUCUCUGGCUUAAGAAAAUAGCAGCAUUAUUCUUUAAUUAUUCUGUUUCCCAACAAUUACGGAUUCCUUUUAGAAUUCGACCAUUGGAGGUCAACGUUGUGAAAUGAUAUAAAAUCUUGUGUUGAAUCCUUCUGCCAUGUUCUGGUCCUUGGUUUUCUUUCUCGUUGAUAAGUCUCCUACCCGUUUCAGCUGAGCAUGGGGAAUUGCUAGCUGCUGUUGCAAAGUCAUGGAGUUAACGUAAACGUAAUCAUAUGAGAUGUACAUACGAGACUUGGUUUGAAAGGAAGGCAUAUUUAAUGUUUCGAGGUUAUCAUGAUGAUGAUUGUUUAUUUUUUAUUUCCUUGAAUGCCGGCAGUUUGCAGCGAAAAAUCCGCAAUUAUCAGCAUUUCUUCAUAUUUUGGGGAGAUGAUCCAUUUCAAUGAUUCAAUACAGCUUCUCCUCAGAUUUAAAAUAAAAAGAUGGUAGUUGAAACUUGAGCAUCAAGGUAUAAACUAAUGCUAGAAUUAUUAUAUAAGGUCAAAUGCCAGUUUCAUGCAGUAGCCCUGGCUACUUGUCCUUGAAUUUUCUCUGUGUGAAGAGAGCCAUGGCCACCUCUUUCUGUGAUUUACCAACUUCAAUUACUACCAAUAUCCUAUCCUCCCUUCUUUGCUUCAUUUUCCUCCCAUGUGUUUACUCAGUUUCCUUCCAAAUAUCUCGCUUUGGCCGUGAUGGAAACAUCCUCUAUGAAGGAGAUGCAGUACCUUCUGUUGGAGCCAUUGAAUUCAACAAAGUGAAUUACCUAUGCCGUGUUGGUCGUGCCAUUUAUGCUGAGAGAGUGCGGCUCUGGGACUCUAACACAGGAAAGCUCUCCGACUUUUCUACUCAUUUCUCCUUCAUCAUUGACACCCGGGGUGCCACGAACUAUGGUCAUGGGUUGGCGUUCUUUCUCGCUCCCGUCGGUUUUCAGAUCCCACCCAACUCAGACGGUGGAUUUUUAGGCCUAUUUAACACCACAACCAGUUUCUCAUCUCAGAAUCAAAUUAUUGCUGUUGAGUUCGACUCUUACUCAAAUGAAGAGUGGGAUCCUCCAUUCGAGCAUGUGGGUAUCAAUAACAACUCGAUUGCUUCAGUUACGUCCACUAGAUGGAAUGCUAGCUUUCACAGUGGAGAUACUGCUGAUACUUGGAUUACCUACAAUGCUACUACUAAGAAUUUGACUGUGUUCUGGAGCUAUGAAGCAAAUCCUGUUUNNNNNNNNNNNNNNNNNNNNNNNNNNNNNNNNNNNNNNNNNNNNNNNNNNNNNNNNNNNNNNNNNNNNNNNNNNNNNNNNNNNNNNNNNNNNNNNNNNNNUAUUUUGUAACUACAAAGAUUCAUCACCUUUUAAGAAAUGGUUUGAGUGCUAUCUCAAUUUUCUACACAGCUCAACUUCACUUGUUUACUCAUUUCUCAAAGUGUAGUUCUGUUUCACCAUUUAAGCCAACUUAGCAUAUCUAAAAAGUACAAUUAAACAAGUUGUGUGAAAAUAUUAUAGUAAAAACUAAGUAAAAAUUUGCUCAGGGAUGGAACUAAAAGAACUCCUGCUAUAAGCAAAAUGGAAAGUUACCUGGUCAUAGUCAAUGUAGCCAGUGCUCUCAUUCAAUCUAUAUGGCAUUGUCUCAAAAAAUAUAGACACUGCAGAUAUUUUCUUGGUGUCGGUCUGCACAAUAGCGAAGAAAUGAGGAGGUUACUCCCUAGCACAUAAGAAGGCAAAGUAAUAAUACCACAAACAAGGAGAGAUCAUCAAAUAUUAGAAACCUCCCAGAUGACAGUUCAAACACCAAAAGAGAAUAUAUAUAUAUAUAUAUAUAUAUAUAUUCAGUUACUACACUCUGUGCAGCUAUUAAGCUUGCUUUGAAAACAGAAACUCACAUAAUUAUUUUUCCAAGCCAAAAUUUUUUUCCCAUGGCUAAAAAGUCAAAAUAGACAGCCACUGAGAAGAUGGAAAGCACUGGUAUAUCUAGCAGGGAACUCUAGAUGAAAGUCAUAAGCACCUGAUAGCCAUGAGAAAGAUGUCCACCAUGAGGAAGAUCAAGUGCCAUAAUUCUUUCAUGAGCUUUUAAUAGUGCAGUGUAAACUUGAAAAUUUGCAGGCGAGCCAGAUAAAGACUGCACGUUCACUGCAUAACCAAGGGUGAUUAAACAUUUAUCAAAGCUGACACACUAUUACCUGCUGAAAAAAAGGAAAGGAGAAAGAAGAAGAGAAAACACAGCGCCUGGAAGUUUUUUCACUAAGGGUGCCAUGAAGGAAACUUUUCCUUUCCUAUCAAAAUAAGUAGUCUUAUAAUUUUUCAGAGUGCCCAAAAGUAACCAGAAUUGAUAACUUUUUAGGCUAGAUGUUAACUUCAUAUAUAUUCUGAUAUUCGCAUCUAACUGAUACUAUUUAGGACAUAAAUGAGCAUUGCUUGUACGGAUCCAGAGAAUCUCAAACAGAUAAAUCCACAUGCCUACAUAUCUUUCAGAAAACUUUAAACCAGUUCAUGGUGAGAAAAGAAUUUCAAAAACAUUGCUUUGAAACAUGUAGAUGGCAUCUAUCUUGACAUACAUGAUCAUAUGUAUUUACCUCCCCAUUUUGCAGGAUCCAACCGAAAUGCUUCCAAAGCACGCUUCUGGCACAAGGAUUCUGCCAUGUCAAUGUACCUGAAAGAUAAAAGGUUUCACUCUUUCUACUUCAGUACUAACCAGGAAAUCCAAAAGAAUGAACACUGGAACUGACUACAUAAAUAUGAUAAUGCUAAAUGAUAACAAUGACCAAUAGACAUUACAAAUACCACGAUGACCAAUAAACAUUACAAAUACCACGAAAGAAAAUCAUGAUAAGGAAAUUAAUAUCUUCUUACUCAUUUCCUCCAUAGUAUCUAGCGCCUGGAUAUCCUUCGCUGUACUUGUUUGUCAUAAUAGACCCAACAGCUUGCAUAACUGACACAGAAGUGAAGUUCUCGGAGGGUAUGAGUUCAAGUCCCUUUACAAACACAAAAGAUUUUCAGUAGGAUAUCAACUUGUACACAAAGCACCAACUCAAAAUCGAUGCCGAAAAGGAAUCUAUGCUGAAAAAUUCAAGUUAAAUCUGCAAACAAUUUUAUAUUUGGAUGAUUGUUUCAAUUUUCCAACAACUGAAACGAUAAAAGAUGUAAUGUACAAUUUCCUUUUCUUUCAUUUUCUUCCAGUUUCUCAGUAAUGAAACAGAACAAGGUGAUACGAGGUCACAAAUUAACAUGUUCUAUAACUUCCACGUGGAUUAAUGCUGGUUCAAUGAAACAUGAAUAGCAACUCCACUGGUGAAGACAUUUGUACCUUCACAGUCGAUUUAACAAUUGAAUCCACUACAACUCGAAAGUACUGUUUAAAGAAAAAAAAUAUCUACAGAGACAGAGAUAUCACCUUCCAUUGUCUUGCUUUCUCGAGCUCAAUAAUGUCUGCAAUUUCAGGAUCCACAACCCCCAGCGGAGCAUUCAACUGCUUUGGCCACUGAAAUUUAUACCAGAACAGAACAAAUAAGAUGAAACGACAUAAUAAACAUUCCAGGAGAGAAGAGAAAAAAAAAUCAAUAAAUGAAAAACUAAUUCGCUUACUGUAACACGAGAUUUCUCCUUCUCGUAUACAGCUUCAUUCGGUAAAGAUGCCUGGAAAAUGAAACCAAAACGAAAAAUGGAUCAUCAGAAACAGAACAAGCACUUCCAAAGAAAUCCGGAUGCUCAAAGAAUGUAAGAAAAGGAGAAUAAAUAAACAAGUUUAGAACCACCAAAAGUUCUUCCACUAUUCCGUCUUUUCCUGUAUUUUCUGAGCAUCCAAACAGGGAAAUGAGAAAGAAAGAACCAUGUAAUAGAUGGAACCGCCAUUGAAGACGCUACGAACGGGCUUGUCGACGGACGAUGAAAGCCUCCGAAGCGCCAUUGCCAUCGCCAUCUCUCUCUUCGUCACUCACUCUCCAACUCUCCCUUUGUUAUUCUCUGGUUUUGGGUGAGUUUUGGGUGGUUGAUGUUUUCGUUAUCUCACUCCCAACCUCAGAGGUGCAGAGACUUGGACGGAUGCCAACGGUAUGACUCACCACCACCAACUGCUUUCAAAUUUCAAUAGCCAUUCACGGUCCCACCAAAACUUCAGACUGAUUCUAUCAAGGUGGCUUGUGUAUAAAUUGCUCAGACCCAAAUUUAAUCGGAUAGUCAUAUCCUACGUAGCAGAUUCAAGCUCUGUUACCUCCCUUGGUUUGUGGACCGUUGAUGGCAACCGCCUUCCCUCUCCUCGCAUGUACCGAAUUCUCAUUUGGAUGUAGGUAAUAAAGAGUAAUUUGGAAACUUUGAGUGGGAAAAUUUUCAGAUAAAUUACGAAAUUUAAUCAAAACCUUCAAUAUUAUAAAUAAUAUUUUUAUAUUUGAGGGAUAAAUUACGAAAUGUUUUUAUAUUUCAGAUGUAGGUAAUAAAUAAUAUUUUCAGAUAAAUAAUAUUUCUAUUAAUUAAAGGUUUUUUUUGAGGUGUGGAUGAAUGGUAGAUGGAUGCAAAUGCAGCCAUGAAAGCCCUAUCCAAAAACCUCCAUUUCUUAGCCACAAAAGCGAGUCCCAUAGAUAGGAUCCAAUUUGUUUAUGAGACAGAUUUGGCCACUCAAUCCUUCGAUCCCUCCCUCUUCCAGAUGUCCCUUUCUUGCGCAAAUCCACACCAUGAUUUAUAUCUUAGGCCCAUUGGACCCUAGUAGGCCUCAUCAAAGGUUAUAGACAUACUGGGCUUUGUAACCCAUUCAUGGUUGGCAGUCCAUUUUUAUAAUCCAGACAGUUCCAAUUCGCAAAGUUUUGGUUUCGGGCUUGGCGGUAGCACAAAUUUAUGAAAGAGAAUUUUUCUUUUCAAUUUUUAGUAGAAGGAAAUGUUUAGAAUGAUAGAAUUUUCAUGUAACUAGAAAACUAAACCAAUCAAAAUUCAAGAAUUUUUUACCAAAUUAUCUUCUAAAUAUCAAAUGAGAUUUAAUAUUUAAAAACAAUAAAUUUUUUAAACCUUCUUUUUUUUUUUUUAACAAAAAUAUCUUAUAAUAAAAUUUAUGCCUAAAAUCAGUCAUAUUAAGAUUGACAUAAUUUUAUCUUGACGCAAUAGUUCACUUAUUGUACAUUAUUUUUAUUUGGGGGUGAGAGGGGCAUUCCAUGAACAUGAGUUAGUGGCUGGCAAUCGGCAUCCAUGGUAUGUGCAUGUACCAGGGAAGCAAACACAACACAUGUACAAGUAAUAAUUGCGAGCUUGACAUAAAGCACAUCGGUGCAUAAUGUGUUUUCGAAGAUGAGUGAAGUCUUCGGAAAGAAGAAUCAUUGUACACGUGACAAAAUUAUACAGUUGAUCUGGAUUGAGUUUGAAGUUUAUUUUAAUAAGCGUUUUCUAAUAUUUAUAACAUUUAAAAAUAUUUAUUAAAUGAAUUAUUUUUAAGCGAUUGAAAUAUUAAAAGUUUUAUUUUAAGUCACCGUCAAACAAACUUUUAAAGUUAUUUAAAAAUAAUUUUAAUUUUGAGGAGUGUAGAGCUAUUACUUAAUAUUUAUAAAAAUGCUUCUUAUAAUUUGAAAAUCCGCGAUUUGAUUGUGUUUUAUGUACUUGUUUUAAAAAAUUUGUUUUCUAAGCUUAAAAAUAAUUUAGAUAAGUAAUUUUUAAAAAUAGACCCAUUUGAUUGUGUUUUUUAUACUUGUUUUUAAAAAUUAUUUUUUUUAAAACUUAAAAAUAGUUUGGAUACAUUAUUUUAAAAAAAAAAAUUAUUUUGAUUUUGUAAAAAUAUUGUAAAUUAGAUAUAUAUGAAAUUAAUUAAAUCGAACUCAAAAUCUUAUUAAAAAGGAAAAUAAUUUUAUAAUUGUAAAUAAAUUUUAAAAAUAAAUAUUUUUUAGUAAAAUAUAAAUAACAAAAUCAUAAAUUAUAUAUUUUUAUUACAAAUAUAUUAUUUUAGUAUAUGUACUAAAAACAUGGAUAUAAAAAUUUUCUUGAAAGAAUAAUUAUUAUUUUUUGUUAAGUUAUUUUUAAAAAUUAUUAGAUUUGUUAGAUAUAUUACAUUUGGAGAUUUUUGGUACGAUAUUGAGUUUUGGUCAUAUUCAAUUUUAUUUGUUUUCUAUUAUUAUUUUUAAUUUCUAUAAUUUUAAAAUAGAUUUUUGUUUUUAAAUGUAAAAAACAAUUUUUAUAUAUUUUUUAUUUUAUAAUAUAUUAUCAAAAUACUAUUAAAAAGAAACACUAAAAGCUAAAAACAAUUUAAUUAAAAAUAAUCACUUCCACGUAGACUUUUGAAACAUAAGACUUGAAAUACAAGCUUCCAUGGACAGAGUGAAUGGGAGAUUAAUAAACUCUCAAUAAAAAAAUGAGAUAAGGAUUCAAAUUCCAAAACAGAAAAAUAAAAACAAAUUUUGAAAAGCAAGGAAGCAAAAACAAAAGCGAAAGUGGAAGAAUUAGUUGGAAUUGUUAUAGACUAAUGGGUGUGAUUCUGGUACAACCAAACCUCCACCAUACCACCAGCACUUGUGGGGACUGAGACUGCCUGUCCUCCUACCAAUAAUUUUGCAGGGGGAAGAGCUAAAAAACAGAGAUGACUGCCAUUUCUGAUAUAACAACAUGCUCCACCCACAGGGUGUCCCCACUUCCAUCUCCUACUUAUCGUCUUCCCGGAUCUGACCUGACCCAUCCUUGGAUUCCUUUCAUCAGAUCAUCACAAGUCUUCAAACCAAAUGAUUGAAAAUCAACCAUCCUAAUUGGAGAUUUUGAAUCAUUGAAUGUGAUAAAUCAUAAAUCACCACAUGCCAUGUCCUCCAACCAUCAUCCCACAUCCACCCAUGAUAUCAUUUUCUUUGGACUUCAGGCUUUUAAGUUUUAAUUUUUAUUUUUUUCUUUCCCCAUCAGACGUACUGAAAGGGGCCUAACAUAAGUGCUAUAAUUAAUCUUCUUCAACAGCCAAGCGGUUUAAUCAAUUGGAAUGAUGGAGGGAGAUAAGGGUGUUUUACACCAAACCAAUAUUCUUACCAUCCUUGAUUAAAACUAGAAAAAGUCGAGCUUAUAUUAAAAUUUUCAAUAAUUUAUCCACUAUCUCACCUAACAAAACUCAAGGUUAAUUAUAAUGCCAACCUUUUGCUUCAUCACAUCAAAAGAUUUGUAGCCUUUUGGCUGCAAAGUUUGGCAUAAACAAUUGUUCACAUUUAGUUCAUUAUACAAAAUGUUAAGCCUAAAUGCAUUGGGACUAAUAUUAUUCCGACGUUUAUAGAUAAUUUAUUUAAGUUUGCCCUUUUAUCAUCCACGCCAUGAAUGUUUAAUAUCAAUUCAUGAUAUAAUGAAAAGUGUGAUCCAAUUAGAUCUUAUUAUAUGUGUACUUAGAUUAACUUUUUUGACGUUAAUCUUGAAUUUUUUGUUGAUCUCGUUUUUUUUUUCUUUUUAUACAUUGAUUUUAUUAUUUAUAUUUCAUCGAAUAAUUUAAAUUUUAUCAUAUAUUUUCAAGAUGAAAAGUUUGAUAGAUAUUUCUUUACUUGAUUAAACUUUUCCUAAAAUUUAUAAUAACUCUAUGAGAUUAUAAAUAAAAGUAAUGUUUUGAAAAAUAUUCCUUGUUUUAAAAACAAAAUUAAGAAAUAUAAGAUUUAUUUGAUGACUAUUUUAAAAAAUAGUUUUUGAAAACUGUUUUAUAAUAUUUUAUAAAAUAAAAAUUUCUUUGAAACCUAAAAUAUUUUUAAAUAUGUUUUAAAAACAAUUUUUAUACGUAGAGUUUUAUUUUUAAUUAUUUUAUAUAUUUAUAUACUUAUUUUUUAAAAUAAUCAAGAAAAUAAGUGAAAAUAAUAAAAAAUAAUUAAAAAAAAAUCUAAAAAACACCUCUUUUUUUUUAAUUUUAUUUACGAUAACAUAAAAUCAUUAUACAAAAUUAUUACCAAACACACCCAAUUUUUUUUUUUUUUUUAAAUUAUUGGAAUCCUACUACUUUUUAAAUUAAAAAGAAGUACACAGAUUCGCUUUCGGCCGUGACUUUAAUAACCCAUAUGUUUCAACUAACCGGCUCAGAUGACAUCAAAACACCACUGAAAACAUACAAUGAAUCCUACAAAACAAACCCCACAUACAGAAAGGUCCACACUACUCUACACCAUUGUCUAUAAUAUAAAGACAAUCAGCCUCCUCCCCUCCCACACAAUUAUUGGAUUCAUCUACAGAACCCCUUCAAAUUUUAUGCUUAUCUUUUCCAAUGGAGAGAGAUCUCACCGCUCACCGCUGCUCCUCACACUUCUCCGGCUGCAUACCGUCGUCUCCGUGCUUCCACGGCCCCGAAGACUAUUCACGCCUCCGCAUUUGCAGCCGCGGCCGCAACCGAAGCCAGAGACUCAGAAACAUCAUAAAGAGGAUAAUGAGAGAAGGCAAGAGCAUAUAUGGGUCAAAACCUUUGACGUUUCAAUACGACGCCGUGAGCUAUUCCCAGAACUUCGACGACGGAUGCCAUAAGGAGGAGUACGGACACUGUUCACAAGUGUUACGGGACUUUAGAUGGGCUGUGCCCAAGCAAUAAAUGUUUGUGUUUUAGUAUCAUCGACCUUAGCUGGCUGUUCUGAUCUACUACUGUUUCUUUAGCUUUGAUUUUGAGAAUGGAGAUAUUCGUGUAUAUAUAUUGCUAGUAAGGAAUAUGGGUCUCUGCAAGUUUUCUUUUCUUCAUGCAUAUUGGAUCUACAAAUUCCAUGAUUUAUACAGCAAUGGAUGAAGAGGAAAUGAGAUCAUUACAGGUGGCCAUGGAUGGGCUGGCGAACCUUCAUUGCUGGGUAGUCUAUAGUGAUUUCUGGAAUUUGUUCCAAGUUUUGAAUUAAUUUUACCCAGAGUUUCAAAAGUAGAAAAUAGGAAGUUAAUCUCGUUUAGUAUUUAAAGAAACUUGAAUUUUGGAUACCAGUUUUUCACCUUAUCUCAGCCAUUUGUGCUUUGGAAGGAGCUAGUUGUUUGUUCUAUAGAUGGGUAAAAACUCCCGAAGAACAUGGCUGAAUGGAGUGAACUAGGGAAUGUUUGGUAAUUGUUUUUGAAAAAAAAUUCCAUUUUUGAGAUCUGAUUUUUGUGAAAUGAAUGUUUAUAGGAAAUCUAAAAUAUUUAAAAAAUAAUUUUUAUAUUUAAUAUUUUAUUUUUAAUCAUUCUUUAUAUAACUACUUUUUAAAAGAGUAAUAAGAAAAUAAGUAAAAAAAAUAUAAAAUAAUUAAAAGAUGUUAUCAUAAAGAACAAGUUUUUUUGUUAAAUUGUUUUGUAUUUUGUAGAAUAGAAAACUGUUUUCAAAAACAGUUUCCAAAUAACUCCCUAGCCUUCUUUUCAUUUCUUAUUUUUAUUAUUUUAGGCUUUGUUUGAAUCGAUAUAUAAGGACUUUAGCAUAUAUUUAAUAAUUUGGUUAAAAAUAAUUAUGUUUUAAAAAGAGCAUAGUAUAACAAGUUAAAAAAAAAUUAUUUCUUAUAAAUUUUUUUAUAAUCUUUCCUUCUUUAACUUGGAACAAUGAUUAUCUUUUUAAAUUGAGAAUCGCCUAACCCUUUUAAUAAAAUAUUGUUAUAUUAACAUAGAAAAAACUUUUUAAAAUGGAAAUCUUUAGGAUUAAUAGGUUAAAAAUAUGAAGAAAAAAAAAUCCAAAAAUGGUAAAAUUAACCUAUCUAUUUUAUAAUUUAAAGAAUAGUCAAUUUUUAAGCAUAAAUUCCUUUCAAUAUUUUGAUUAUUUACACAUAUUUUAAAAAAUUAUUUUUGUAAAAAAACCUGAAAAUAUUUUUUAGGAUGAAAAAAAGUAAUGAAUAUAAAUCGGGAUGAUUUAAUAUUUUUUAAUCAAAUAAUCUAAAUUUUAAUGGGAGAUAUUUGGAAAUAUAUUUUAUAUUUAUAUGGAGCAGUUAAAUUAAACAAUUUUUAAAAAAUCACAAAGGUGUACUAAAUUGGAUAUUAAUUGAUUAAGUAGAUUAUAACCGGCCAAUUAAUCUUAAAAAUCUGCAAUGAAUUAGAGAAGAGGUCUCCGAGAACACGAAGAGUGUUUGUGAGAGCGUGAUGAAUCAAAGACAAGUUUGACCACUGCCCUUUGGUCGGUUGUUGGGUGGGUGUGAUCAGUGGACACAUGAAUAUAUUCUCUGGAGUACGCAUUUGUGAAGAAUAAUAAUUGUAUCGUGACCUCACUCCAUGCUACGUGCAUUCGAUACAACUGGACACGUUAUUGGGCCUUGGAUUGUGGAUUACAUCGCAUCACAUCGCAUCGCAUCGCAUCACUCCUCAAAGGCCCAUCCCAAAGGCCCACGAUGGACCCAUUCCCCAAUCCACCCCUGGCGCUUGUCUCCACACAAGGAAAGGUUCAUGCGUCACAGUCCUGUCACUUUCUCGAGAAAAACGUUUCCUCUGUUCAAAUAUGAAAUAUUCAAACCUACUCUCACCACCGUUUGUCGCUUGUCACAUGCCUCACCUCACUCCAAGACAGUUUUCUAGUCAAGAUUUGGUUUACAACGGUUUGAUCCCAGUCCCGUUGCUCUUGUGAUUUUGCUGUUGAUUUCAAUUAUAUUGGGGUUUUGAUCGUCUAAGUGAUAUGCUUUGGUGGAAUAUUUGCUUACGUGCUGCAUUGGAAAUGGUUUACAUUUUUUUAGUAGUAUUGUGGUCCUUGAACUGUUUGGUGGGUCUCAGACAGUCAGACGGCUAGGUUUCUACAUAACAUGAUUUGCUUUAGUAUCCAAAUCAAACGGGUUUAUUUUUUAAUAUUCUUUUUACUUGACCUUUUUGAUUUUUAAUUGCUUUGUUUUCAUGUAUCAUUCCCAAACUUUCCUGUUGAAUGUCCUGUGUUCUACUACUUAAUUUGCCAUUUUUGUGACAAUGCUAAAUUGAUAAAGGUCUGAUUACUUUUAUUGGUUUUCCCUCACGCUUUUGUAAUUUUUUUUCCUUUUUCGUUUUUUUUUUUUUGGUGGGAUUAAGGAUAUUGUGCAUUUCUCACUUUCUAUGGAUGCUCAUGCGGUUGGUGAAUCUUUUUCUGAUUUCACCAUGUUUGUCAGACAGAAUAUGUUAUGGUCUCUGACAUGGGUUCAAAUGAACUUUAAUUUUGAGAAGCUUUCCUGCUUCUUUUGUGACUAUUGAUUAUUCACUGAUCAUCUUGAUGCUAGUGUUGGAAUCUUAUCCAAUAUGUCAAUUCUUUACUCUCUUUAGCAAACAUAUAUAGAAGAAGGGCAUCUAGACCCCAUCAUCCAUAGCAAUAAUAAUGAUAAGAUUUUUGACAGCUAAGGAAAUCGAUGCGCACAUGGUAUUUUUAAUUUUUUGUGAAACUUUACAAGAAAAUAUGAUCCGACCGAUCUGUAACCGAAUUUAUGGUUGGCGCCUUCAACAAUGUCGAUUGGUUGUGUAGCUCAUCUCAAUCUGAGAAGCAUACUAUUGUAUGCUUUGGGGAUUUUUCAAAUGAAGUUGUUCUCUGCAGCAGUUUCAAGAAAUAAAGUGAGGAUCAAUAUUUGAAUGUAGUACUGUGGACUCUUGACAUUUUUUUAAAGGGCGAGAAAGGAAGUUUUACCCUCCCUAGGUUGUCUUGCUGCUGUCUGCUAACAUCGUUGCUUAGGCUGGCUUAGCUCGAGAUGGAUGGGGACGGCUGAGUCCUCCCCAAUACUAAAGCCAUAUGGAAUGAUGGCAUUCGUGCUUGCGGCAGUCACGUCUCUUGUGCUAUAAACCUGAGACAUGAGGCAUUGUUCCUAGGCUCAUUUAGAUAACUAGUUUCGCUUAACAUGGUUUAAACAUUGUGAUUGUAUAGAUGUUAGUAAUUUAACCAAUGUACCUUCUUAUACAAUUCCAUGUUCUCUUGGCGAAUAAGGGUCAUCUUCUUGUGCAGUUCCACAUUUUCCUGUUGAACAAGGUUGCCCUGUAAACAAAAUACAAAAAUUAGCUUAUUAUAACUGAAAUCAUUCUUGUAUAAGUCUUAUGUUAAUGAACAGCUGUUGUUUUUGGAAAAACCUUUUGCUUUAGCUCCUCUAUUUCAUUUGUUAGGAUUUGCUCCUGCAGAAGUUAGAGAACCAUGUUAAGUGUUAUGCAUGCAGAACGCUCUUCAUGUGACUGUGCCACAUGAGAGUAAACACAGGAUUGCAUGGAGGACUAAGGUUUCUGACCUUUUUCAUGUGGACACCUCGCAAACUCAUUUCCAAUUGGUUCUCUAGAUUUUGUAGAUCCUUGACACUCAGACCAUAAAGUUCUUCGCCCAUCAGUUGCCUGUAUUUUCAGAAUGUGAAUGUAGGUCCAUUAUUCUUUAAUGCAUAUUCCAAUAUUUGAUGCCUUGUUGUAAUUUAAUAGCAUAUCUUGGGAAAAUAAGGGAGGUCAGUCUCAUCAUCGAAGUACCUCUUUUAUCAGCUAUUUCAUUAUUGAUAACUAUAAAUUAUGAAUGUUAAUGUAAUGUGCUAGUGUUUAAAAAUAACAGCUUAAGAAACAAGUUUUAGACCUGUUUGUAGACUGUUUCGUGUAAUCAUAAAUUACUGAAAAGAGGAAGUGAAAACAUUUGACCUUGUGGUUAUUAAGUAAAUUAUAUGGUUCUGGAAAAUAACCAGAGUCUGUAUUUUAAUGCAUUUCUUUGUUUUGUUUCCUUUAUGACCACAGUUUUGUCAUCCAGCCUAGUCCUGACCUAGUAAAUAUAACUGAAGGGACCCAGCUAACUAGACACAAGCAUUUAUGCUUGUCAAAUAUGCUUGUCUAAUAUUGACAAUCCCAGCAACAAGCUAUAAUAAGAAAUGCAGUACUCUGUUGACCAUGGAGUAAAACAAAAGCAUAAUGGUGCAUCCCAUGAUGUUCGUGUCUACCCAGGCUGAAUUAAACUUUCCCACAAUGUCACAUAUAGUUCGUGAGACUUCACAUUGAUGAGUCACAUGGUAUUGUUGGUUGCCUGGACAAAAUCGUUCAUGUACUUGUUUUAUCCACCUAGAAUGUCUCUGAAUGUUUUCUAGUUUUAGCAAUAUCUUGUUAUUAUUUCAUUUUUGAUCAGUCUUACAUCUGAAGGGCCAAAAGAACUCCUAGUGGACAUUUUAAAUGAUGCUAUAAAGUACACCAUGACAUAGAAAGCUAUAAUGGUACCAUCAAUUCUUAUAAUGUGCUACUUUCAGGUUAAUCACCUUUUCUUAUCAGAUCAAGUAAUUUGAAGGAGAAAGAUUGUACCUGUGGUUUUCUUGCAAGUUCUGUAGUUGUUGCCUUAAAAUUGCUGCUUCUCUCUGCCAAAACUAGUAGAAGUGCAAUGGCACGUAUUAAGGUAUGGAAAUAUAUAAGAUACUUGCUACCACUAUGACUAAAUAGAAAAAUAAAUACUUUUUAAGUUCCAACCUCCAUGAAUUUGACAUUAUAGAAAUAAGAUAAAUUCUGAAUCUACAUCUUUUUUAUGUAAUUCUGUUAUCCCUUUUGAUCAACAGAAAAAAAAAAGGGAAAAGGAUAAGCUUCCAAAACUUAAUUAAUGUGAGGACAACCUGAUAUGAUAAAGUUAGUAUAUUGAAACCACUUAAAGAAAUGAGCCAAGCUACUAAAGUAUUUGUUUUGCAGUCCAGGGCUUUUGUACUAAUAACAAUAUAUAUGUUUUUUUUUAUGUGAAUUUUUUGGUAAUUACAUUUCAAAUUCCUUUUGUCAAUAUUCUUUAAAGGUGUUUGUUGAUUAUAAAAUUUUAAUAUGAUCAAUCAGUAGUGCAAGUUUUUGGAUUUUAUUUAUGCAUAAUGGAAACUUGGCAUAACAAAAACCAUGUUGUGUUAUAAACUGAUCAGUAGGCGGCUCAUGUUUUUGCCAGGAUUCACAGGUGAAGGAACAUGCAUCAUGCAUAUAAAGUCAUUUCAUGUCAAUAUGUAAAUGUGGAAGACAAUGUGGUUGGGUUUGGUUUUCAUAUGCAACAUCCAAUUCCCAUAUUGUUAUAUCAUAGUGUUCACAAGCAUCUUGCAAUCUGCAUAAACAACAUAAUACAAACUUUUGAUGGUUUACCAGUGACUUUUCUCUUAUUUCAUUGUUAUGACUAACACAUCCUAAUAUAAUGGUUAUACUUGGGCAUCUCUUUGUUUUCCAAGUUUUAGUCUUUUGCAGUUCCCUUAAUAUAUUAGAAUUUUAUGUUUAUAAUGGUUAUAAUAUGUCUUGUUGGAUGGUCCUAUAGAGCAGGUUUUCAGAGUCUGCGGCGGUGCUAAUUUACAUUUUCUAUGCAUGAAACUGAAUAUUAAGAUGAUUUUUCCCGGACAUUGGAAGAGUCUCAACUUCAUAAUCUGUUAUGCUUUCACACAGUUUCAACUUUCUAUUCUGUGAUGCUUAAGCAUAGUCAUUAGGAGAAACUUAUCUUUUCUCUCGGUGCUCUUCUUUAUUUUAAACUUUGAAAGUUCAUUUUCUUGACUUUUUCUUUUUUAUUUUUGAUAGGCUAAAUAAAUUCAUUAAGAGAGCCUAACAGAAAGGGGUAGCACUCCCCAAGUGUACUGAAUGUAUACAUAGGCAUCAAAGAGAAAAACAAAAACAAAAGAAAACUAACUCCUUAUGCAAUCAAUCAAAUCCAUAAGAGACAUAUUUAAAGACCUAAAGAAUCCCUAGUCUGCCCACUCACUUAAAAUACUCUUUUAAAGCCUGAGGUGUGCUUUCCUCAUUGUCAAUAGUUCUUGAGUUCCUCUAUAUCCAAAUGAUGAAAAACAAGUGGAACAGGACUGUGCUCCACAAGUGUACUGAAUGUAUACAUAGGCAUCAAAGAGAAAAACAAAAACAAAAGAAAACUAACUCCUUAUGCAAUCAAUCAAAUCCAUAAGAGACAUAUUUAAAGACCUAAAGGAUCCCUAGUCUGUCCACUCACUUAAAAUACUCUUUUAAAGCCUGAGGUGUGCUUUCCUUAUUGUCAAUAGUUCUUGAGUUCCUCUAUAUCCAAAUGAUGAAAAACAAGUGGAACAGGACUGUGCUCCACAAGUGUACUGAAUGUAUACAUAGGCAUCAAAGAGAAAAACAAAAACAAAAGAAAACUAACUCUUAUGCAAUCAAUCAAAUCCAUAAGAGACAUAUUUAAAGACCUAAAGGAUCCCUAGUCUGUCCACUCACUUAAAAUACUCUUUUAAAGCCUGAGGUGUGCUUUCCUUAUUGUCAAUAGUUCUUGAGUUCCUCUAUAUCCAAAUGAUGAAAAACAAGUGGAACAGAACUGUGCUCCAGACACCUUUUUAUUUUAUUUUUUAUUAUACAUUUUUUGCCUAUAAAACUCCCAUGUUAACAAAGUAAAACCUAUUUUUACUGAUUGAGGAAGAGCCCAAAAAAGAUCAAGUGAUAGAAUAGGAGUUUCCACAAAAUACAGGCCAAACUCAAAUGAAUUGGAAUGUGAUUGGCUGGUUCCUCACAAAACUUGUAGAAGCAGAAGCAAUUAGUUAAAUGCCUACCCCAAUCCAUAAGUAGAUUAGUAGUUAGAAGUUGAAGAAAGUCACUUUAGAAGUGUUUGAGACCACACUCCUUCUGAGGGAAAAAGGCAACAAGAUGAGUCAAUGAUCUAUAAAAGGAUUUAACAAAGGUAUCUUGUUCUUGGUGCCUCUCCACUCUAGACAACCCUAACAUCCUCUAGGCACCACCAUCCACUGAACCUGUUGCAGGAAAAGACUCACACUCUCCAACUUUCGGUCUUGAAAAUCUCUCAAAACAAGGACUCCGCCUGCCUCUACCACAUUGCAAACUCCAAAUAUCAGCCACCUAAACAUCCUUGUUCUUGGCAAUAGUAAACAACUGGGAAAAAAUCUUUCAAUACCAAAUCUCCACUCCAAAUAUCCCACCAAAGUUUUGCUCCAUAGCCUCUUCUGAUAGUUUCCUAAAAAUCAAUUUCAAUCCCUAUCUCCCCUCCCUAGAGCACCAACCUACCCAUAUUUUCUUGAGAUAACUCGUCUCCACAAAUUGUACUGAUCCACGUGAAACAUUCGCUACCAUUUACCCAGAAAAACCUUAUUAAAUAUAGACAUAUAACAAAGAUUCAAACCACACCUCCUUUUUUGUGAAUAAAUGAUAGGUCAUCUGAUGUAGUAAACAAGAGUGUGAUUAUCUAUAAUCAAAUAGGUAGGGCUAGGAUUUCACUUGUUGUGGAUUUAAGUGGAACUGUCAUUAUAGGUUGUGGUAACAAGGAAAAAUAAGAUAAUGUUCGAAGAUUAGCCCAAGAAAUCAAUAAUUAAUUUUCUUGCCGUAUAUUUGAUUUUUCCUACCACAUUUUUUCUUUGGUAAAAGUUGACCAUGAUUUUUGUACCAAGAAUCUAGGUAAAUUUGACAUAGGACCCUUGCAAUCAAAUUGCUUGAUUUCAAGGGAUUGUUUUUUGAUACGUAGCUUAAUUUAAGGGAUCUUGUUGACCCUUUUUUUGUACAUAUAUUGUAAAUUAGAAUGUAAUGAAAUGUUCAAGAGACACUUAGAGAUGAGAAUUGAAGGAAAACAAUUAAUGAGGAGAUUUGAGCCUUAGAAAAAAAUUGAGACAUGGGAUAUAGUUGAGCUCACCAAAGGGAAUGAAACAGUAGGUUGUAAGUGGAUUUUCAUAAUUAAAUACAAGGCUGAUGGGAGAAUAAAAAGGUAUAAGACUAGAUUAGUAGCUAAGAGUUUCACCCAAACUUAUGGUUUUGAUUACCAAGAGACCUUCGCAACAGUGGCAAAAAUGAACACUACUCAUAUUCUAUUAUUCUUAGUUGCUAAUCUUGAUUGAUCUUUGCAGUAAUUUGAUGUGAAAAAUGCUUUUUUACAUGAUGACUUAGAAAAAGAGGUAUACAUAGACACUCCACUCGGGUUUGGUGGCAAGGCUUGAAAGAACAAAGUCUGCGAAGUCCCUUUAUGGACUUAAACAAUCUCUAAGAACAUGGCUUGAGAGAUUUACAAAAUCAAUAACAAAAAUGAACUACCAUCAAAGCCAAGGGGACCAUACACUCUAUUUAUCAAACACAACUUCUUUGGUAAGUUGAUUGCCUUAAUAGUUUAUGUAGAUAACAUUAUUUUUUUUUUUGAUAAAUAAGCACAACUUGUAUUAAAGGGCAAAAAAAGCCAAAAGCAUACAGGAUGUAUACAAACUCAGCCACACCCCAAAAAGCAAAAGAGACAAGCAACCUCAACGGCCUUUAAGUAGCCGCUAGCCACUCCAAAAAGAGUAAAAGCGAAGAGGACUCCUCUCCCAUGUACACUCUAGCCCAACUCCACAAGUUACAAACAAAGUAAUUUUUGAGUUUCUGUAUAUCUAAGGAACCCCCUCUAAAGGCUAAUCUAUUUCUCUCCUUCCAAACCGUCCAAAAAAUACACACCGGUAUGGAAUUCCAGAUUUUUUUCCUCUUUUUCCCCACAAAGGAGCCCCUCCAGCUAAGUAACACCUCUAUGACCGUCUCUGGGAACACCCAAUGAACCCCAAACAAGGCAAGGAUAAUAUCCCAAAGAACCCUAGCCACUGUACAGUGUAAAAGAAUGUGAUUUACAUUUUCCUCUUCACAACCACACAAAAAACAGCAAUUAGGGAGCUGCCACCCUCUUCUUUGGAGCCUAUCCAACGUAAGGAUCUUCCCCCAUGUAGCUUCCCAAGCAAAAAAAGCAGCUUUAGUAGGGACCUUGUCCACCCAAAUGCAUCUAACCGGGAAGUCAAGUAAAUUAGGAGCAGCCAGCAGGUUGUAAGCACAUCUGACUCCAAAAAAAACCUUGACCUCCGCCUCUCCAAACCACCGAGUCCUCCUCUUGGGAGAUCUUGAAAUCCCUCAGCAUGUUAAACAAAGCUUCUAUUAAAUCCAGCUCCCAAUCAUUUGAAUCCCUAGCAAAUCUGAGGUUCCAACCUCCUUGACCACGGCUAGAGUCCCAAACCUCACUGAUAGUUGCACUUUUGUGCACCGCCAAAGCAAAUAAUUGAGGGAAAAUUCUGGACAGCGCCUCAUCACCACACCAAUGAUCAGUCCAAAAAUUUACCCUCGUCCCCUUUCCCACCUUAAACCUAAUGUUAUCCCAACACCAAUUUGCCUCCUUCAAAAUCUCCUUCCAAACCCCAACCCCAAAGGCUCCGCGAGCUUCAUUUGUCCGCCAACCAAGGCCUUCUUGACCAUAUUUCACCCCAAUCACUUUCUUCCAAAGAAUAUCCUCUUCAAAGGCAAACCUCCAAAUCCACUUGCUCAAUAAGGCUUUGUUAAGGAGAACAAUCUUCCGUAUUCCAAGCCCACCAUUCACUUUUUGAGUGCACACCACCUCCCAGUUGAUAAGGUGAACUUUCCUUUCCAUCCUCCCCCCUCCCCAAAGAAAAUCUCUUUGUAACUUUUCAAGCCUUUUCGCUACUGACUUUGGCAUCCGAAAAAGGGACAAUUGAUAAAUUGGAAUGCUGGCCAAGGUGCUCUUGAUGAGGGUUAUUCUCCCGCCCUUAGAAAUGUAUUGUCUUUUCCAAAGGGCUAAUCUUCUCCUCAUUCUUUCUUCCACCCCAUCCCACAUAGAUAUGGCCUUGUGAUGGGCUCCAAGAGGCAGCCCCAGAUAAACUGAGGGAAGAGCUCCCACUUUGCACCCAAGCUCCACUGCCAUUUCCUCAAUUUCUUUAACCUCCCCAAUAGGGAUUAGCUCGCUUUUAGCUAGGUUUAUUCUUAGACCAGACGCCGCCUCAAACCAAACCAAAAUCCAGCUUAAAGAGGUUAGAUACUCUUUCUUAGCUUCACAAAAGAUGAUUGUGUCAUCCGCAAAUAGUAGAUGAGAGACCUUCAUCACCAGCCCUCCUCUCCCCUUAAGGCUGCACCCUGAGACGAACCCUCCCCCAACAGCCCUUCUUAUGAGAGCACUUAGCACUUCCAUACCCAUGACAAAGAGAUAGGGAGAUAGAGGAUCACCCUGACGCAGCCCCUUGGAACUUGGGAAAAAACCUGCCGGUACCCCAUUUACCAAAAUAGAAAAUUUGGCAGUUGAAAUGCACCACCAAAUCCACUCCAUCCACCGAGUCCCAAAUCCCAUCUUUUGUAAGACCUUCAUAAGGAAAUUCCAGUUGAUGCUGUCAUAUGCUUUUUCGAUGUCCAAUUUACAGAUCAGCCUCUUCUCCUUACGCUUGUACCAGAAGUCAACCACCUCAUUAGCUAUAAGAGAGGCAUCCAAGAUCUGUCUCCCCCUCACAAAGGCGUUCUGGUCCAUUGAAACCACCUUUCCAAGGACCUUCUUCAAUCUAUUUGCCAACACCUUCGCCACAAGCUUGUACAAACCCCCUAACAAGCUAAUAGGCAGGAACUCCCCAAGAUCCUCCGCUCCCCCUUUCUUAGGGAUAAGAACCAAGAAAGUGGUGUUGAGACUUUUUGCAAAAGAUUUUUGCACAUAGAGCUCCUUGAACAGAUCCAUGAUCUCCUCCUUCACAAAUUCCCAACAUGUUUGCCAAAAAGCCCCUGUAAAUCCGUCUGGUCCAGGAGCUUUGUCCCCAUUCAUGCCCAUCAAAGCAGAAUGGAUCUCUUCCAUAGUGAAAGGCACCUCCAAACCUUUAGCCUCACAAGAGUUUAGGCGAGGGAGGUGCAGCCCCUCAAUAUCCGCUCUCCAACUUGGCUCUUCAGUGAGAAGUUGCUGGAAAUUUUGCACAAUCCCCUCCUUUACCUCCUGCUCCUCAACCCUCCACACCCCAUUGAUUUUGAUUCUGUCCAGGGAAUUAUUUCUCCGAUGGGCAUUGGCCAUGCGAUGGAAGAAACCUGUAUUUUUGUCUCCUUCCUUCAACCACAACUCCCUUGACACUUGUCUCUAGUGGGUUUUUUCCAGAAGAACCCACUUCUUGAAAGUUUCCUUAGCUUCCUUUUUCAUUUCCGUUUCGCUUACUGACAGGCUCCUUUCACUCUCCACCCUGUCCCAGAACUCAACCUGCUGGAGGGCCAAGUUCUUGUUAACUUCUAGUCUGCCAAACACCUCCCUAUUCCACUCUUUGAUUUUCUGUUUCAUCACCUUCAGCUUAGAGGCCAAUCUAAAGCUGGCCUUCCCCCUCACCACAGUCCCCUGCCACCAGUCCCGAAGGAGGUCCUUAAAGCCAUCUACUUUCAGCCACAUAUUUUCAAACCUAAACGGAGAUGGGCCUCGUCUUAACCCUCCACCCUUCAGCAUAAUAGGAAAAUGAUCAGAUGUGGGCCUCGGCAACCUACAUUGAACAAUCCCACAAAAUUUGUCCAGCCAGCACUGGGUCACCAGGAAUCUAUCCAAUCUUGCCCAUGCUUGGUUAUUUCUACCCCCACUCCAAGAGAACACACCACCUUGCAGCGGAAGAUCUAGAAGCUCUAAAUCAUCUACUACCUGGGCGAAUCUUCUCAUUGCACCACUUAUCCUUCCCUGACUGCUCCUUUCUCUUUGAGACAGGACGACAUUAUAACAUUAUUGUUAUUGGCAUUGAUGAGGGUGAAAUUCAAAAGCUAAAACCUUAUUUGUGCAAUGAAUUUGAGAUCAAGGAUCUAGGGAGUCUAAAAUAUUUCCUGAGAUUAAGGUGACACGUUAAAAAAGGGGGGAUAUUAUUUAUUUCCAAAUAGAAAUAUAUCCUCUAUUUGCUAAAGGAGACAAAGAUGCUUGGAUGCAAACUAGUAGAGACUUCGAUUGAGUAAAAUCAUAAACUAGGAGGAAAAAUAAAAAAUGAUAUGGUAGAUUUAGAUCUUUAUCAAAGAUUAGUGGAGAAAUUAAUUUAUUUAUCUCACUCCUGAGUCCUUGACUAGACAUUGCAUAUGUUGUAGGUUUGGUAAGCCAAUUCAUGCAUUCACUACAUGAAUCUCACAUGGAGGCAAUAUACAAAAUCCUAUGUUAGCUAAAGUUUACACUAGGCAAGGGAAUCUUAUUUCAUAAGAUAGGAAAUAUAGAAUUGGAAGCUUACAGUGAUGCUGAUUGGGUUGGACCUUCUUGGGAGGAAAUCUAGUUACUAGGAGAAGUAAAAACAAUCAGUAGNNNNNNNNNNNNNNNNNNNNNNNNNNNNNNNNNNNNNNNNNNNNNNNNNNNNNNNNNNNNNNNNNNNNNNNNNNNNNNNNNNNNNNNNNNNNNNNNNNNNGAGUUUAGGGCCAUGGCUCAAGGGAUUUGUAAACUACUCUGGAUAAAGAUCAUUCUUUAUCCAUAAAGCCAUAUUGUGAUAACCAAACUGCUCUAAUGUUUUUUUUUUGAUAGGUAAAUUUUUUGUCCCCAUUGGGACUUGAACCUGGAACCUCUUACAAACCCUCCCUAUCCCUUUACCACUUGAGCCAGGCCUCAAGACCAACCAAACUGCUAUAAAUAUAACCCAUAACCUUGUUUAUCAUGAUCAAACCAACAUGUGGAGAUAGAUUGACAUUUCAUCAAAGAAAAACUUGACAUUGGUUAAUUUGCACUCCAUAUAUCCCAUCUUCUAAACAAUUAUCACAUAUAUUAACACAAGGCUUAUGGAGUUCAACUUUUUAUGUAAUCUUAGACAAGUUGGGAAUGCAAAAUAUCUUUGCACCAAUUUGAGGGGAUUGUUAAAAGAUUAGCCUAAGAAAUUAACAAUUAAUUUUCCUGCCAUAUAUCUAAUUUCUUCUACCAUAUUUUUUACCUUUUUUUUUUCUUUUUUUUUUUGUAGAAGUUGACCCAUGAUUUUUGUACCAAGAAUUUGGGCAAAUUCCAUAUAGGACCCUUGCAAUUAGGUUACUUGACUUUAAGGGUCCUUUUUUGAUAGGUAGCUUAAUUUCUUUUGUAUAUAUAUUGUAAACCAGAAUGUAAUGAAAUAUAUGAUAGAUUAUUUUUUGUCAGAUAAGAAAAGAAGAAAAGAGAGGAAGAAUGGAAAAGAGAAGGUAAAAAUAAAGCAUUAGAAUCUCAAUAAGGUUUUAAAGGAAUUUAACCUAGAAGGAAAAAGUAAUGGAGUCUCACCAUCACAAGCAAAGAUGAUUCUUAAUCUUGUUUGAAGACUUAUAUCUCCUAACUGAUAAAAAUUAAAGCAAAACUAUAAAGCUAAGUUUUAUAAAUUCUACUAUGAGUCAAACUAAUUCCUCCUAAUUUGAUUCCUCAUUCUCUUUUCACUUUUCUUCAUUUUCUAAUCACACUUUGAAGAUGUAUCCUCAUCAAUCCCCUCCACUCGGAGGAAACUCGACCUCAAGUUUUUGCAGCUGUUCCACAAUAUAUUGAAAUCUAAAGCAAUGCUUUCUACCUUUUCUUUCUUAGUUGUUCCACAAAAAAAAAAAAUGGAAAAUUCAUUAUGCAUAGGAUACAACCACCAUUGAGAGCCUAACAUCUCCUUCACUUUGUUUAAAUUAGAAUGACAGCUCUAAGCUUCUUUCUUUAUAGCCAUUGAUUAACAUAAUUUCGUACUGAUAUAACAGCAGCUGCCUUUCGUUUUGCUGCAUAUAUUUUCUAAACAAGAUCACCACUGCAGUGUGCUUAGAGUGUAGUUUCGGUUACUUGGGUUAAAACAAAAAUCUUGCAUAUGAUAAAUAUUAGAAAUUGUUCCUAAAUAAGUCUUGCUGCCAUGACCAAGAACUCAAUCCAUUUGGACUCUAAAUCACCAAUCUAAUCAACACUAAGAAACACUUUGGUCUUCCUUACUUGCAAAGCUUCAACUUUUAACUUCUGCAAAAUUUUCUUCUUUGUAGUUCUCUUAUCUAAAUUUUUCUGUCCAUGUUUUCCCAUUCAAGUCCAUGCAUAAUGAGCACCGUUCUUGAAUGUGUCUAAUUCCUUAAUAGGUGGAAUUUCCUUCAUUGGAUGGAGAAUCUUCUUACACCCAUUUUCUACAAGUGUGGAGUAUUUUAAUAACCAUUGUGUUGAGCUCUUCGAUAAAAAGGUAUGGCCUUCCUAGCAACACAUGACAAAUUUUUAUUGGUAGAUAUCACAUCNNNNNNNNNNNNNNNNNNNNNNNNNNNNNNNNNNNNNNNNNNNNNNNNNNNNNNNNNNNNNNNNNNNNNNNNNNNNNNNNNNNNNNNNNNNNNNNNNNNNUAUGCUAGUUAAUAAGGACAUUCUUAGGUUAAGCUUUUCAAUGAAAUCUUAUGAAGCCAUAUUUAAACUACUACUUCCAUUGGUAAUCAUAGUACAAAGGCUUGCUUGGGAAGAAGCACCCAUAUGGAAAAGUAGCAUGUUGCCAAUCCUCUCCUUUCUUUGUCCUUAGAGCAACCAAUAAUGUUGCAUUGCAAGGCUCUUGGGAUACAACCUAUGUCGCAUGGGUUUAGGUAUGAGUGUCGGAUGUGGGUAUUUGUUUAGGUAUUUGAUCCUUCACAACUCAAAUUUUAGGAUAUGAAGACUUGGCUAAAAAGAAUAUAAAAAACUAGCAUUGGUACUGAGAUACGAUAUAAUAAAGGAAAAGUUAAUUAAAAAUAAAUUAGAAUUAAAGAUAUCUUUUUUAAAAGUUCCCAUCUUUUCCUUUUAAUUUUUUUCCUCUUAUCCCUAAAUGUUCUUCCAAAAAUUCUCUUUUUAGCUAACUGUUUUUUCUUUUCUCUAAUGUAAUUAUUCCUAAGUUGAAAGGAUAAAAGGAUAUCAAUGAAAAGAUUAGUCACAUGCAAAGUAAAAUAGAAGUGUCCAACAAGGAUCCCAUGUCCACACCCAUGUCAUGUCGUGUUGAUAUAGGUACAUUGGGUGAAAUUGAAGGGUCUAGGUGUCAUAGGAUAAAACAGUACAAUAACUACCUUUUUUACCAAGUUGCUCAUCAUUAUUAAUCUCAUGUUCCUUUGGAUAAGGUUUGGAUUCAAGUUUCGGUUCUUCAACACAAAAGUGUAGCCUUUUGGUUGGAAAGACAACCACGUAAUGACCAUGUUCCCUAUACUUGAAGCAUAAUGGAGUUAUGCCAACCCUUUUUUUAGCAAAAUGCAUGGAAGUUUUACCUUUUUAACAUUUUUGUUAGUUGCAUUAGAAGAUUGUUGACUGUUGCCUCCAUUUCCAUCAACGAGAGUAUUGAAUUUUAUUGUACUUGCAGGUUUACUUCUUGUUUGAUUAGAGAAGACCACCGCUUAACCUUGGAUUUAAUGGCAAGUUGGUAAACAUCCUCUAUUGUGUUAGUAUGUGCUACUACCAUCUCAAGUUGAAUCUCCAUUUGAAACCCAUCAUUAAAACAAGUGUUUACUUGAGCCUUGUAUUCUUUCGCCUAGUUGCAAAUAGUCAACUCAUGAAAUUCCUUAGUGUAUUGUUCAACUAUUCUAUUGCCUUGUUUAGGUGAGAACAUCUUAGCUGCAAAAGUUGGUAUAAUUAGUUGGGAGAAAGUGUUCUUUCAUUUUCAACUUCAUCUCAUUACAUGUGCUUGUUAUAAAAUUACAUCCUUUUUCAAAUGCUUUGUGAGGUGAUUUUUCAAUGUAAUAACUCCCACUCCCUUUCCUUCUUCAACUAGUAGUUUUUUAUGAUUUCUCUGUAAUAACUUCAUAAUUUCUUCUAGUUUGGUUGUUAAGCUUCAUUGUGGCCUCUUUUUGUGAUUAUUGAAGCUUCUUCUAAAUGCGUUAAAGUGGCAUCUUGAUUACUAGAAGUAGUCUUGGAACUCAUGCUUGGCUAAAUUGCUUUACUCCUUAGUUGCAUGCACCUUCAGGCCAAGAACUUCGGUUGUGAUACCAAAAUUAACGUAGGACAACCUUAGGAUGGUUGUCUACAUUUAAAUGGUUGGGCUAGGAUUUCACUUGUUUAGGAUUUAAGGAGAAGAACUAUGAUACCUAGACUUUUCUUCUUCACUAGCAUACUGUAUUAACAGAACAUGUGUGUGGGUGUGGGUUUCUCGUUGGAUACUCCUACUUUGCUUUAGAUAUGAUUAUUUGAUUUUCAUUGAUUGAUUGAUUGAUUGAUUUAUUUUUUAUUUUUAACUUAGUAGAUUAUUACAUUGAAAAAAGAGAGAGAAUUUAAAAAUAUUUAGGUAUAAGGAAUAAAAGCUAAAGAUAAAAGGAAAAAAAAUAGGAAACUCUUAUUAAAGACAUUAUUUUUAAUUGAUUUCUAAUUGUUUUUUCCUUUAUUAUAUCGUUUCCAGUAUCCAUGUCUAAAUUUUGGAUCCUUCUUAGUAAGUUCUUUGCAUCCUAAUCUUGGAGUUAAAAGAAUUUGAUUGCUAGAAAUGUAUCUACACCUUACACCUCCAACCAAGACCAAGCAACAUAGGAGAGGAAUAAUUAUUUAAGCUUGUGGUAGUGGGGAAAAUAAAAUAAAAAGUAGAAAAAGAAAGGAUAGAAAAGAAGAGAUGAAAUAAAGUCUUAGAAUUUCAUUGAAGUUUUCUAAGAAUCUCAUCUAAAACAUAAGGGUAUUGGAAUCUAUCUCAUCAUCACAAGCAAAGAUGCAUGAAAAAACUAAUUUAAUUCUCUAUUUUAUUGAAACCCAAGAUCUAUUAGGACUCUAGUUAAUCUACUAGGAUUCUAUCUCUUUUUCUAAGAUUCCUAUAUCUCUGAAGCAAUAAGAGUUAAAACAAAACUAUAAACCUAAAUUUUAUAAAUUCUACUAUGACUCAAAUUAACUUCUAAUUUGACUCUUCUCUUUUUUGUUCCUUUUGUGAUUAAACUUUGAAGAUGGAUCCUCAUUGCCAUCUCACGCUUCCUUUGUUUUUCAUUUUUUCUUUUCUUUUUUAAUAUUUAAUAGUAAUUAAUCAUUUUGUGAUGAUGAUUUUUUGUUUAUCUUAGUCAAUAAAAUGUAUGAAUGCUGUUAUGUUCUGCAUGCAUGUUGAGAUAUGAUGCUUGUAGGAUAAGAAGUGGAAGCUAAAUAUAGGAAGUAAGUAAUCGUAAAAGUUUGUAAAUUGGUAGAUGUGACAUCAAAUCAUGGCAAUCUUGUGGUGUUCUUGCAAGGUCUAGCACUUGAAGACUCACUAAUGUAAAACUUCAUUGAUUUCCUUUGAAGUGCUUCAUAUAUGUUAACUUUUCUAUUGGCAUAAUACCAUUAAAGAGAGUCUUGGCUGACAAGAUGCUAGAAUAUUGCAAUACUAUCCGCUUUGCUCCUGAUAGCAUUAGUUGUGCUUUUUGACACUAGCUGAGAGUGGGGAGUUCUUUGUUUGAGAGAAACUACCAUUUAGAUGGGAAAAUUGAAUAUCAUUCACUGAGACAAAGGACAAAGAAUGAAAAAAUGGAUGACAAAAAUCAUCAUUACAAUGAAGAAGCAUAAAUGCUUUUAUUAAUGCCUUGAUGAAUGACAGAGAAUCCUAUGAUUCCUCUUUUUUGUUGUUUUACUUUUUGUAAUUCUCUUGUUAGACAAUGAAAGACCUUCUGAAUUGGGUCUUUUACAAGGUGGCAUUGAUGCAGAAGGUUUCAAGAUAUCUACCCUGAGCCUAGUGAUUUGAGCCCCAUGAAGACUAUAUAUGAUAUAGAAAGAACAAAGAAGAACUAAAGAAAUGAGCAGAAUAAGAAGAAUAAAAUGUGAGGGAAGAGCAAGGCUACCUAAGUAUCUCCUCUCCUUCCCAAGGUAGUUAAUCUAAGCAAAAGUGAAGAAAAGUUAGCACUCUGAGUUUGUCAUACCAAUUUCUAAUCCAGUGCACAUAACUAAUUUUGACCUAUAUAGCACAGACAUAGAUAACAGGGAGUCAUGCGUGCCGAGCUAGAACAUUGUCACUGUUGGAUGUUUCCAAAUUGGUGGAAAAAAAAGUAUUUUGGGUGCCCCAUUGCUUUUAUAUAUUUUUUUUAAUUGGACACUUAGGGAUACAGCAUUCAGGAAGUUCGAUUCUAUCGGUAGCAGUGAUACUCCUAAGGAUUAAGAUCAAAAUACCUUACUUCAAAACUUGUUUCCAAACAUGAGACAUCUGGAGAGAGGACAAGAAAUUCGAAAUGUCCAUGCGAUUACGUGGUUGGGGAUUUAUCACUUAGUAAAGACUGUGUCAAAAGCAAAUGAUAUCUUUUUGAAGAAAUUGACAAGUUUGAAUGUUGUAUGUAGAGUUCCAAGUAAUGCAGUGAUGAAAAAUAAAAUGGGCAAUAUUUCUACAUGCUUGAUCUGUUCUUGGAAUACAGGAUUCCUAGACAUUUGAAUGGCACUCCAGUUGCAGAACAUGAAGGAUUGGUAAAAUACUAAAAAGUUAGGGAAGAUGCCAUUUGCGAAAGUUUCUGCAGCUGUACUAGCCAUUGUGUGGUAUUUUUCUUCAGUGCUAGAUUAAGAUACAAUAUCCAGGUAUUAGUUUUCCUUGAAACGAGUCUCCAAGGACAGAAGCUAGUGGUCAAGUGAUGAUAAUUGUGAUGAUGGCCCAGUAAACAGUAAAAUAGGCAAGGGGUUGCAGUAAAGAGCAUUUAAAAGCCUGGUUUCAUAUGCAAGAUCUUCAAGUUUCUGUACCAUAUAAUAUGCAUGCAUUCACACAAAAUACACUUACAAUAAUAAGCAUACAUGCACAAUUGUAUGCAUGCAUUUGUGGUUUUAAGAUUAGUUAAGUUUCUCAUUGGUAUUCCUCUUUCAGACAGAAUGUUCUGUUCUUUUGACGUCUCCUAAUUCUUUAAUGCAUAUUUAAUAUUGCUGUGGCUCUUGCCAAACUCUGUAAGAGGCUUCAUUGUUAAAAAAAGGGAUGAACUUGGAAUUUUGUAUCUAUGAUCACAGGUUCAACUAAGGCUUUUUUUUUUUUUUUUUGUUUUUCUGUCAGUGUUAAAAAAAGGUUUUAUUUUGUUGGUGCACCUAUGGCAUGUUUUAAUUUCUUUAUUUAGUCAAUAACUUAAUCUUGUAGACUAGGUUUUGCAAUGCUGAAAGGUAAAUUAAGAUGGUCCUAUCACCCAUGCAUGCAUUAUUGACCGCCAACCCUUUUGAGCAUUACAUGCCUUACAAAGGAUACACUUAUUGGAUGAUCAGAAUUAUCCUAUCAGUUCAAUGUUCAGGAUAAAUGCCUAGUUCUUGGUAGAAACCAAAAUCCCCUCUUCUACCUGCUACAGAUAGUUGACACAGAAAACAUAUGUUGUUUGCCUGUCUCAGUUGUGUCUAAAAAGAAAAAAAUUCUUAAUUUUCUAUUAUUUGGUAAUACCCAUACAUGUUCAGCACUCAUAAUUAGACAAAUAAUGUGAUGAAAUUAAAUCUUUUAGAUAUAGCUCUUUUUGUGCUGUGGAACUUGCAGUUGAACAUUGAAGGAUGGUUAAUGAAGGAAUACCUUGACUUCUGAUGCUGGAUUCAGCAAUUGAUGAUUCUCCUCUUUUGAUUUGUGAUAUCGGUCAAUUGCAGAUUUCAUGCUGGUAAGAGUGAAGAGCAAAGUGAUUAAUUUUUGCACAAUUCAUUAACUUUAAUACUGGAAAUUUCAACAUGAUAUUGUGGUAUUCUAGGAAAACAGCAACAGAAAUCAAAAGGGAGAAAAGAAAGGAAUAAAAAGUAAUGUAAGAAACUGAUGAUUAUCUGUGGUCAAGAAUUUGAGAUUUCCAUGUUGAGGAGCUAGAAUAACAUACAGGUUUUAAAAGUGGAGAUGUCCUCUCAGUUUCUUGAACUUUCCAUAUCCAAACUUAAAAGAUCUAAGGCUAGUUUCCUAUUUUAAUUUUUAACUGAAAACCUUGACAGGAUUAGCUAUACUAGGUUGAAUCUAAAGACUUGAGAACUGCUUGUUAGGGAUACUUGGUCAUUUUUCCAUCACUUACUUUUCUCUGUCAUAAAAUAUCUUUUAACAUCUUUGCUACUUCCUAUUUGUCUGAUCAGUUGGUGCUUGAGGGGUAAUCAGAAGUUCAUUGUAACGUACCUCAACUUAUUCUUCUCUUGGGGAUGCAAACUCUGUGCAAAUGGUUUAUUGUACCUUGGAAUUAGAGACUCCAAUUUUCUAACAUUGUUGUUACUCUCUCUCAUGGAAAGAGAUUUUUUUGUAAACAUGAUACUCAGAAUGUUGACUAUAUUGUAAGUUAUAAAUGGUUCAGUUUUAUGCAUGAACAAUGAGAUAGUUAUGAAGAGAUGCACAUAUUUUAUGUAUAAUUUGAUUCAGAACCUGUGAUUCAUUUUGUCACUUAUCACUGCAGACUGCAGAGAAAGCAGGAAAGUGAGUGAAUAAAUAAAAAAUGAAACUGUAUGCUUGAAACUUAUUCGGAGUCAGUAGAUACCAUUCCAAAUUAGGUAUUAGCAGGGCUUGUACUUGAGAUUCUUUUAGUAGACAUUUAGAAGAACUUCUCUCUUCCUCUCUGAAGGAGUUCAAAAAACAUUUGCUAACGACUCUUUUGCUAUGAUGUUCCUUGCUUCCUGCUGCUAUAAAUUUAGGUUUGGUCAAAACUAGGCCUUACCUCUCACACUUCCCAUUCUGCUCAUCUGACUAUAUUUCAUGCUAGUCCUUCCAUUCAUCAUUCUGCUGAAAUUCUAGCUGUUUUCCACUGAACCUGCCUUUUCAAUAUCACAGGAAAACCUGUUGAUGGUUGGCUAUUUUGCUUUGAAGGAAACAUCAUUUACAUUUAUUCGUUCUUUUCUUAACUUUCUGUUCCAUAGGGAUUGCACUUGUUCCUAAAAUUUUGUCAGUAAGAAAUUUCAAAUUUGUUCUUGGUGUAACACAAAGGUUUAUCUAAUGUCCAUGGAAUUUAAUAGCAAUUUGGAUGGAGGCUUCUUGCAAGCUCUCAACAAGUAGGUGGCCACUAAAAGGUUUGUGUUUCCUAGAAAAUGUUGGAGUACCUGGUGCACUGGAAACCAUUUCCUUCUGGUAGGGGUUCUGGAUUGCUUAGAGUUUCACUAUGGAAGUUCUCAAAUCAAAGUGGGGAAUCAGCCAUGUCAUUUGUGAUAUUGAGCAUGUAAGGAGGUUGAUUCUUUUGUUGCUUUCUUGCAGAAUCAUUCAGGGCUCAAACCUCAAUACUAAGAAGAAUCUUCAAGCUUUAAACAAGGGUUGUAUCUAGGGCCAGGGGUUGCUGUACCAAUUGCAACCAG